CCACGAUCAAGUCUGCGUUCUGGAUGGUGGACAGGCGGUGCGCGAUCACAAUGCAGGUGCGGCCUUCCCUGGCUUUGUCCAGCGCUUCCUGGACGACCUGUUUCACAGUCGCACCAAAGAGUUAAUGAUGGAAACGGCCCUCUUCCCACAGAUCCCCCUCCAUAACCAGACCCAGGAUUUUCCCAGUCUGUCCUUCAGUUGUGUUGUAAAAACUACGAGGAUUCUAUCUUAUGGAACCCAGAAUGCCUGGUACCACGUGAACGAAGAACAGCCUGUGCUGGCAGGGGUGAGGAGGGAGAACCUCUAGGGAGCUGGCAGGAGUGAGAACUGGGACAUUCACUGUGGAAAUCAGCGUGGGAGAUCCUCACAGCAAAGACAGAAACAUACUCAUACCUGCACCUGGGCAUGUCCCUAAAGGUUCCGACUCACCACCGUAGCUAUUAGCAUAUCUGAGUUUAUGUGUUGUUUAUAAACUACCCUAGGGAGCCAGGCUAGAUGCACAAGAACAGAUGGAUGAACAAGGAAAAUGUGGAACACGUACACGACAAAGCUUUAUUCUGCCAUAAGGGAGAAUUAAAUGCUGCCAUCUGAAGGAAAGUGGGAUUGGAGAUAGCAUGUUAAAAGACAUAAAGCAGACCCAGAAAGACCAAUGCCACUUGUUUUCUCAUACAUGGAAUUUCUAUUUAAAGGUAUAUAGUAUAUAUGAUAUUAAGGUAGAAGGGAGAUUCUGUGGUGCUUGUAAAGGUUCAAAGGGAGAAGAGGAGAAGAACAGAGGAUAGCAAGGUGUGAGGAAAACAUAAUAUUGUUUGUUUUCUUUCUGGUGUGACAAUAGCUAGAUACGCUUUACAUAUAAAAUACAUCUAUCUUUAGUGUGAAAAUAGAAAGGGAACCAUUUGGUGGGAUGAUGGAUGGAGGAAGGUAAUCAGGAUGUAAAUAUGAACAAAGUAAAUGAUUAAAAAUGUAUAAAAUUUAACAAAGUCCUUAUUUUGUACAAUAAAAAAAAUUAACAAACAGUUUAAAAAAACCAGUGGUAUAAGUGAACUAUAACAUAAACUUUAGAGACUAAGGGGUCUACCACAUCAGGACAGAAAAAGAGUGAGUUUAGAUUAGAUCUGAGAUAGAAGGUAUCUAAUAUUAAGGUAAGGGCAGUAAAUACCCAACCAUUUAAAAACACUCGUUGUGCCUUGCCACAUAACACAGGAAGCUGGGGCACCAGACAAAGCCAUCACAGCAGGCAGAAAACAUCUCUUGACCAUCUAUCUGCCUUUCAGAUAGCUCAUCCCUUUCUCAAGCUGGAAGGCAGCAGCAGUGGCCCUCUUAGGGCACUGUCAGACUCCGACCAUCUCACCUUCAGCUCCUCACAGGCUACAGAGCUGUUGCCUGCAGGAGCAGACUGACGCCAGCAUGCGGACUGUGGGUGGAGCACCGAGGAAAACACGGGGUUCAUGACUAAUCUGCCUCUCAUCACUGGAGGUCUCCUAAGUGCCAGCGGCAGACAUGUUUAAGCUCCAUUGGGAGCCACCAUGAGCAACAGCUGUCUGGAGCAGUGUCCUCUACUAAGGCAGAGAAAGAGCCCGACUUAAGUCCUCACCUUUUCACUCUCCGUAUCCAGAGCUGAUGUCGCUUCAUCCAGAAUUCCAGUUCUAUGGUGGGCAGAACAAGGCCUGCAUCUGUGGUGGGGAUGGAAAGAUGCUUGAAACAGGCUCCUGAGCGACUGCUGCCCCAGCAUCCAGCACAUUGACGUGUCCUGCCUCGGAAGAGCUAAUCUAGAGACUGAAAAAUCUGUUUUUCUACCAACUUCUAAGGCGAAGAUUCAGACUUUGACAAGCGGCGAAUCUCAUUAGUAAAGGGGUCUGUAGGCUUGUACUUUGAGUCGUCCAACCUCAAAAGUCAACCACCCAUGGCUGGACUACACUGAGUAGGGCAAGGGGACAGAUCUCCUUCCAGGUCAUGUGCUCAGGAGGAGCAGUUACCUGUGGAAGGACCACACGGCAAGGGAUACCUUGGGAAGAGAUAGGGCCACUGUUCGCCCCAUCCUUGCCUGCAAGGCGUCAGCUUCCAUGCGGGUUUGGGGCCAUCAAAUCUUAUUCUACAGAGGUCCUGUCAUGUAAUGGUAACUUAACUGGUAAUAAUGGAAGAAAGUAUAGUAUUUGGGUAAGACUUGGGGCUGGAGAGAUAGCUCAGUAGUUAAAAGUACUGGCUGCUCUUUAGAGGACCCAGAUAAAUUUCCAGAACAUACAUACAUGGUAGCUUACAACUGUCUAUAACUCCCAUCCCAUGAUAUCCGAAGCCUUCUGGCUUCUCUACACACCAGGCCUGAACGUGGUAUACAGGCACACAUGCAGGUAAAACAACCGGGUACGCAAGAUAAAAACAAUAAAAUUAAAAUAACUAAAAGAGGUUAACAGAGGGCCAGAAGUCCUAUUUAUCAAACUCAUUGGAGGAAUGAGAGGAUGUCCACAGGACAAUAACCUAGGGAACAUUUUAAUAACCAACUUCAUAAGUACAGCCUGGGGCCCACAAAACACAAUGGUAAGACACUGUACAAUACCACGGUCUUCUCAAUGACUCAGCCCUAAUUAGAGAGGCCUGUAUCUGGCAUCAAUCCAGCUGUCAGCCUGGAGUAAGUCCAGAAUGAGGUUUGAUGCUUGUAAAAGGAGCUGCAAAGCGGUGGAUGAAAGGAAAAUGAAGAAUGGGGAUAGAUGGACAGGGCUGCUCCAGGAGACACAGAUAUCCUGGACCUUCGCUCAGACUUGAAGGAAGGGGAUUAUCUCCCUGAAGGGGUGGGGCCUCCAGUCUGGAAGCUAUAGAUCCAUAGCAGGCCUCCUCCUAGACAGUUCCUGAAUAAAUGUGACACUUUGUUCCUGCCUCCCCAGGACUCACAGGAUCAGGUAAACUUAACACCUUGCAGACAGGGGAGAUGUGGCCGGAUCUGUGUAUACAUGUGGAUAUGUUUUGGCUGCUAACUUUUCUUUGGUCAUCCUAAUCCAGAGAGAGACAUACCUCAGGCAGUGAGUCGAUGAACUGGUGGAUGUUGGCCUCCCUGGCGGCCCUCACGAUCUCCUCAUGAGACACGACACGGCUGUUGUCUCCGUAGGCGAUGUUCUCGGUGAUGCUGCAGUCAAACAGGAUGGGCUCCUGGGACACAAUGCCCAGGUGGGCGCGGAGCCACUGGACGUUGAGUUGUUUUAUUUCUUUGCCAUCUAGAAACUGAAAGCAAGGGUUCACGGAUCAGCUUCAGGACCAGUAUCAUUCAGAUUUAGCAAAAAUCACCACCAUUACUUCAUACUUUACAACUGGGGCUGCCACGAGAGGAAAGAAGUCUUGCUCACUUUACCUUGGAGGUUUAAGGUAUGCCGACUAAACAGAUCUCAUUUGUGGGAGAAAAAAAAAAGGCAUUCAAAUGAGGGAGCUGUUAAUGGCUUCUAAAGAAGACCCCAGUACCCCAGCUUUGGAUAGCCAAAUAAUGAUGCUAAGGAUGAACUGGCUCCUAUAUGUUUUCUGCAUGCCUUGUGAGUGGCUGUGCCUCUAGGACAGCACUGGCCAGAGCGAGGAUAGAACUCUGCCAUGGGGAUGCAUUUCUACUUGUGAGACUGGCAGUUACAAGGAUAGAAGGCAUACUAUGACCUUGCUGGGGCUAACUAAGCUCUGUUGCCAUGGAAACCACUCUGGGCAUCUACUCUCCUAGCUUCCUAAACAUUUGAGUAAGUCAAAGUCCAGAAUAAAGGGUGGAGAUAGGCAGUGAGAAUCACGAAAGCCCGUGACAGGCAUGGUAGCACAAGCCUACUACCCCAACGCUAAGGUGGUUGAGGUGACCGCUGGAAGGUGGAGUCAUCCUCAGCUGCGUGCCAAGUUCUAGACCAGUGUGAACUGUAGAGCAAGGCUCUGUCUCAAAACAAAUACUCAAGAAAGGAAUCCAUAUUAGACCACAGCUAUGCUAGAUUGAGGGAGGAUCGCAUCUUAGAAGUGGAAAUCUGAAGACAUAAUCCUUAAAGUUUAUUCUGUGUCUAUAUCCCUGGGAGCAAAACAUGUUAUCCCACAGGCAAGUCUGAAUGGUUCCUGUAAGUUUUGAGGAAUUCGUACAUUUCACCAGAUACAAUCAAACUUUUGGCCCUAAUUAUAACUGUAAAACACACAGGUUUGGGAACUAUUUAAAGCCAUGCUGGUUGAAGCAUCCGUCCUCUAAGAAACACGAGUUUGGAAGCCCAGAAUAUGAAAUGCGUUCAAGUACAGCUUCUGUGGUAGAUGCACACCAGUGGUCUGAUGGAAGAUCUGGAAAUUCUGGAGAAUUCAUGAAAAUUGCUCACAAGAUCCAAGCCCAAGGGCAGGUCUAUGUAGGGAAGUAAAACUUGGUAAGGAAUAAUGUAAGGCUAGUCAAGGUAAUUAGCUCUUUCUACUACUACAGCCCCCAACAACUACUGCUCACUAGUGCAGUAACUGAGGGCUGCAUGUGGAUUAUUUGCAAUGUAUGUACUCUGAAAUUAAGAAAAGACAUCAAGAACUAAAAAUAUUUUAGGUUCUGAGAUAAGCAAAAUGCAUGUACUCUCUCCUUUGUCUUCACACCUCUUAGGGUCACUGUCACCCUCACUGUGGUGCAUGGGAUAGAUUGGAGAGGGAGAAAGGCAAGGCCAGGAGCACUCAAGUUAAUAAAAGCCAGGCUGUAGGGCUUUCAAGUACCGGUAAAUACUGGCUGUUCAACAGCAUUCUGUGUGGGAGGGAGGCCAGGCUGCAACCAGGAAGCUCUCCCUCGUAAGUCAGUUGCUAAGAAAGGAAGAGUCCUCAAUCUAAGACUUCGGUAUCCAGAUUUUGUUAUCACUAUUUUUUAACUGCGUUUGAAAUACUCCUUUUCUGCUCCACUAUGUUCAUAGCAGCCUUAUUUAUAAUAGCCAGAAGCUGGAAAGAACCCAGAUGUCCUUCAACAGAUGAAUGGAUACAGAAAAUGUGGUACAUCUACACAAUGGAGUACUACUCAGCUAUUAGAAACAAUGACUUCAUGAAAUUCAUAGGCAAAUGGAUGGAACUAGAAAAUAUCAUCCUGAGUGAGGUAACCCAAUCACAGAAAAACACACAUGGUAUGCACUCAUUGAUAAGUGGAUAUUAGCCCAAAAGCUCGAAUUACCCAAGAUGCAAUCCACAAACAACAUGAAGCUCAGGGAGAAGACCAAACUGUGGAUACAUCAGUCCUUCUUAAAAAGGUGAACGAAAUACUCACGGGAGGAAAUACAGGGACAAAGAGUGGAGCAGAGACUGAAGGGAAGACUGUCCAGAGACUGCCCCAUCUGGGGAUCCAUCCCACAUGUUGCCACCAAACCCAGUCACUAUUGCUGAUACCAAGAAGUGCUUGCUGACAGGAGCCUGACAUGGAUGUCUCCUGAGAGGCUCUGCCAGAGCCUUACUGAAACAGAUUAAGAUGCUUUCAGCCAACCAUCAGACUGAGCACGGGAACGCCAAUGGAGGAGACAGAGAAAGGACUGAAGGAGCUGAAGGGGUUUGCAACUCCAUAGAAAGAACAAUAAUAUCAACCAACCAGACCCACUAGAGCUCCCAGGGACUAAACCACCAACCAGUGAGUACACAUGGACAAACCCAUGCUCCAGCCACAUAUGUAGCAGAGGAUGGCACUGUCUGGCAUCAAAAGGAGAAGUGCUUGGCCCUGUGAAGGUUUGUUUCCCCAGUGUAGGGGAAUGCCAGGGUGUUGAGGUGAGAGUGGGUGGAUGUGAGGGGGAGCAUCCUCAUAGGAGCAGGGGGAAGGGGAUGGAAGGGGGGAACCAGGAAAGAGGAUAACAUUUGAAAUUUAAAUCCAUACAUUAUCCAAUUAGAAAAAUAUUUCUUUUUUUAUUAAAAUGUAUUACCUAUAUUACUACUGUCCCUUUUUCCCAUAAUAGUUUAUCUUCUACUUUGAUUUCUUUUUUAUAGUAUACCUAACUUCUACACACAAGAGAAAAUCCAGUUUAUAUGACUUAACACUUGGCUCUCCACAGAACACUUCUUCAAGCGGGCAGUGGGGAUGUUCCGGUGGGACUCGAUGUAACAGAGCAACUAAAGUUGAGGGCAGGUAGGGAAGUGAGGAGCUAAGAGUACUGAUAAGGGCACACUUCUCCAGGCGGGAGAUAAGUAGAGCCUAGCAAUUGUGUCAAAAGGCAAGUUGAAAUUGAAUAACUGUGUGUGCGUAUGUGCGUGUGCAUGUGUGUGUGUGUGUGUGUGUGUGUGUGUGUGUGUGUGCGCGCGCGCGCGCGUGCGUGCGUGUGUGUGUGAUUGUGUGUGGUCCUCUAAGUCAAGUCCUCUUUUCAGUUCUUAAGACCAAAUGAUGGUCAACUGCACAAUCAUUUUCCACAGCAGUAAGAAGUAACUUUUGAGUUACCUAUUAACACUAACAGAGUCACUAAGGGUCACUUAGAAACUAAAAUGAACACAUUGAUCUACUGGGGAUGCUUCUGCAAGGAGGCUGGCUGCUAGGAACCACAUGCUGGCAUCUUAAGGCUCUAGUACAAUUCACAGAAGAUGAUAACGGGUAUUCCUGGGGUGAACAAGAAUACAUUAGCUUCAGUGCAUUUAGAUAGUGUCUUGAGACAUCACUGUACUAAUUAACCAAUCUUUACUUUUGUAUUUUUUGUGUGUCUACCUUUACAUAUUAAGGACCAAAAAGUCAGUGGCUGGAGAGAUGGUGGCACAGUGGUUAAGAGCACUCACUGCUCUUCGGAAGAUCCUGAGUUCAAUUCUGAGUACCCAUAUGGCAUCUCACACCUGUCUGAUACCGGGAGUGCAGAUGUACAUGCAAGUACCCAUAUACAUAAAAUUCACAAAUAAAUAAAUAAGUCUUAGAACAAACAAACAAACAAACAGGCUCGAGACUCCUUCCCUGACUCCCUGUUUUUGGAAGCACACUUGAUUCCACCUGUGAACAUUACUGUGUAAAAUUUGGGAGGCAGACAGCAACUCUCAUUUAGCAGGAGUAGGCUGGUGGUGGGGUGGAAGAUGGGAGUCCCUCCAACAUCCGGAACGAGCUUGGUCUUAUAGGUCAGGAACAGCUAUAACACUGACAUAAUUCCCUGCAAUGUCUGGGUCGUAGACUGCAGCAACAGUACAAAUGGGAAUCCAUGGGAAUCCAGCCUUCAUUGAGUUCACUCAUUCAGCUCAACAAAGAGUGAGCUCUCCUUUUAUUGAAUCUCUUGGAUUUCUGUUUCCUGUACUGAACUGAAAUGAAUCUUGUCUAUGUUGCAGAUUAUGCUCUCCUGAUGUUUAGGCUUUUACAGAACCAUCAUUGUUCCUUACGUAACGAUUUUACCAUUUACUAAAGUUACAGUAAAGAAUGGGAUCUACGUCUGCACAAGGGCAUGUCAUUGUGUCGUCCCUUAAGGAAUCACCUAGCCAAGAGAGCAUCCCUAAGGAAGAUGAGUUCAUAUGAAGUCAUGCUAAAAAGAUAGGAGGAAUAAAUAUCCUGUAAUGUAUAUUUUUCCUCCCUGGAAUCUCUGCCUUUGGUGCAGUUGCUUCAGAGGUACCUUUUUGACUCAGAAAUAUGUAACUUUUCCUUUUUUUAUUUAUAAUUGUGUUUUCAAAUACUGUCUAGAACCCAAGUAUGUUUUCUCUGGGGCUUUUUCACUCUUUCUAUAUAGCUUCCCACCUACCUUGUGGCUCUUUGUCUGCCAUGGGCUGACCUCCAUGCUGAGUUAACUCAACUGGCAUGGCCUUUUCUCUUUCUCUUCUCCAGCUUCCUCCUCUGAGAAGCUGCAAGUGUACAUCUUGUUUACCUUGGGAGAAUGCCCCAACCAACUAGGAAGUUAUUGUGACUAUAAUAAGAUGCUAUGAGAUUUCGAAAUCUUUCUUAAAAUAUAACAAAAUUUGAUAAACUGUUACUUCUGCUAGAUUCCACUUUAACUGGCCUGCUUGCUACGCUGCACUUCCAAGCACAACCCACAUUACCUCUUGUAAUAAGUACAAGUUGUGUGGCUCUUUAGUAUGCAAACCCUACACAGCCAUUAAGAGCUAGCUCCAGGUCUCCUUUCUCUAAUCAAACUCAUACAAGUGUAUUUUCCAUCUUCCCAGUUAAAGUCACCAUAUGCUGUUCCUUUUAAUUGUACUGUUACACACUGUUUAAUAAAAGCUCAUUGAGGACAUUACUCAAA